AGUGGCAGACGGGUGAGUAAUGUAUAGGAAUCUACCUAGUAGUACGGAAUAAUUGUUGGAAACGGCAACUAAUACCGUAUACGCCCUACGGGGGAAAGAUUUAUCGCUAUUAGAUGAGCCUAUAUUAGAUUAGCUAGUUGGUAAGGUAAUGGCUUACCAAGGCAAUGAUCUAUAGCUGAUCUGAGGGGAUGAUCAGCCACACUGGAACUGAGAUACGGUCCAGACUCCUACGGGAGGCAGCAGUGGGGAAUAUUGGACAAUGGGCGAAAGCCUGAUCCAGCCAUGCCGCAUGAGUGAAGAAGGCCUUUGGGUUGUAAAGCUCUUUCGGUGAGGAAGAUAAUGACGGUACUCACAGAAGAAGUCCUGGCUAACUCCGUGCCAGCAGCCGCGGUAAUACGGAGAGGGCUAGCGUUAUUCGGAAUUAUUGGGCGUAAAGAGCGCGUANGCUGGUUAGUAAGUUAAAAGUGAAAUC
rnacentral:rRNA from 1 species